rnacentral:lncRNA from 1 species
GAGCUAGCCUGAAGGAGCUCGUCUCGGUGGUAGAUGAGCGAAAGGUGAAAGAAAAGAUGGUGUUCUAUAUCCACGAGAUCAGAUCCGCAGACAUGACUGCUACUCUGAAGGUAGCAAGCCUGCCCGAAAACACAGCUCCUCUCCAGUGGGGGUCCAUCCUCGUCUUCGACAACGAGGUGCGAGAGGGUGAGGGCACGGACAGCAAGCUAAUAGCUCGGGAGCGAGGAUGGGGAUGCAUCACUGACAAAGACAGUGCUGACGGCUUGCAGCUAUUCUCUAAAAUCACUUUCACCGAUGGGAAAUACGAGGGCUCCAGUUUGACCUUCAGUGGCAAUGUUGGUGGGGCUGCUACACCUUACGAGCUCAUUAUUCUUGGCGGCACGGGACACUUUCGAGGUGCUCAUGGCUUCGUGUUGGCUGACAACUGCCCCAACCAGGGCAACCUCUUCAUCUUCCAGUGGAACGUCUUCGUCACGAAGGACAACGUUGGCCUGCUGUAGAUUUUUACAUUCGACGGCUGCUUUAAGUCUGCACCAACUAGCUUCCUGCACAUGCAG